UUCCGGUAUUUGUUCGAAAGCUAGAGAUACAUUUUGUGGUCUUCUGUAGUACUUUCUGUUGCCAUCCUACACAAAGCGGCGAAGAAGCAAUGCCUUUUUCACCAUCUUGUCUAUGAAGGAAUUGUCAAAAGUAAAUGGUCAAGCUUACAA